rnacentral:tRNA from 3 species
GCCUCUUUAGCUCAGUUGGUAGAGCGGUUCACUCGUAAUGAACAGGUCGCCGGUUCAAGUCCGGCAGGAGGCU